UACGAAGGGGGCUAGCGUUGCUCGGAAUCACUGGGCGUAAAGGGUGCGUAGGCGGGUCUUUAAGUCAGGGGUGAAAUCCUGGAGCUCAACUCCAGAACUGCCUUUGAUACUGAAGAUCUUGAGUUCGGGAGAGGUGAGUGGAACUGCGAGUGUAGAGGUGAAAUUCGUAGAUAUUCGCAAGAACACCAGUGGCGAAGGCGGCUCACUGGCCCGAUACUGACGCUGAGGCACGAAAGCGUGGGGAGCAAACAGGGAUUAAGAAACCCUG
rnacentral:rRNA from 1 species